rnacentral:rRNA from 1 species
UACGAAGGGUGCAAACGUUGCUCGGAAUUAUUGGGCGUAAAGCGCACGUAGGCGGCUCUGUAAGUUGGAUGUGAAAUCCCUCGGCUCAACCAAGGAAGUGCAUCCAAAACUGUAGAGCUUGAGUACUAAAGAGGAUCGCGGAAUUCCCGGUGUAGAGGUGAAAUUCGUAGAUAUCGGGAGGAACACCAGUGGCGAAGGCGGCCUUCUGGACCAGCACUGACACUCAAGCACGAAAGCGUGGGGAGCAAACAGG